CCGCGGAGCGCCAGCAAUGGCGGCACACGACAAUGGCACAGCAUAAUAAAGAUUUGUUUUAAAAGUGUGAUGGAGAGGAGGUUUUCAGUGGUGCCAAGUACGUCCUACAUUAAGCACUUCAUGGAAGGACCGUCAGAAGUAGAAGAAUACUUGGUACACACAAGUGGAUUUUCCUGAAAAAUGUAGUGGCAUGAACAGUUUCUAGUAAUGGCAAUGUGAUGUGUCCUGAAGAAAGGUUUCCUUGCAACAGGAAAUAAGAGGAAAAUGGGUUUUAUAGAAAACAAGUAGGAACAAGUGCUUUUGGCUUAUUCAGUGAUGACUUGGACUACUUUGUCAGAACUGCCUGACAAAUGUGGAUGAUGUAACCAGAAGGAAGUGUAACACCUGAAGAGAUUUGUGGCUUGGAGUGGGAUGCUGUGCUUUUAAAAGCCUGCUGAAACACCUGCAGUUUUGUUUAAUAGACACUGUCUCUGCUAUUUAAAACACCAUCUUUCCAAAAUACUGAACUGUCUUCUGUAGGAAGUAUAGCAGUAAUAUUAGGGAAAGGAAUACAUGGAAAACCCCUUGACUUUUUACCCUUUUAAAAUACCACAAUGUCUACAGCUUGCAUCACUGUAUCCUAGUGAGGGAGUGAGGAAUCGACGUUUUCUGGGCUGCCACUUCAGCAAGAGAAGUCUGGUUACAACAGUGGAACUGCCCUUUAGGGAUACACUGGCAACAGUACUUGAUUGCUUUCUGGGGGAAAGAGGUUGGUAAAAGAGAGGGAAAAGAAAGUUAUGUACAUUACAACCUGGGCUUUUGUCUUGGUUUGAAAAGACAGGUGUCUGCUGAGGAAGAAAGUUGCCUCCCUUGAAAUGAAAAAUAUAAGCUUCUUCCCUCUGUUAUAAUUUUGAAAUUAAGGGGC